CUUCUCCCCCCAGGGCUCUACGAAACCUUCCUAACCAAUGAUGAACCCGAAUGCUGUGACAUCAGGAGCGAGGAGCAAUCCACACCCAGACCCAAAGGGACCGUGGACAGAAGAGACUCCUGUCCUAGGACGUCGCUCACAGUGUCCUCGGCCACGAGACUGUGCCCUGGCAGGCUGAAGCUGUGUGUACUCGUCCUCAUCCUCCUCCACACAGUGCUCACGGCCUCUGCGGCACAGAACUCCACGGGGCUGGGCCUGGGCGGCCUCCCCACGCUCGAGGACAACUCCACCCGAGAGGACUGAGCGCAGCCAGGGGCAUGCGCACAGCGCGGGACUGGGUAGGGGCAGGGGCAGGCGCGUGCACAGAGCAGCAGCGACCCACCCGGGAUGCUCACCUGCUGCAGCCCGGGGACUGAACCCACCCGGGUGCUCUACCCUUGGACUUCCCGCAAGGCCUGUGGGUAAUAUUUAACAAGAUGGGCCCGAUCCCCAACAUGGACACAGUCGCAGCUUUUUACCAACUAAAAGGCUGCAAGUGACUCAAUUUCUCACACCAUUUUAUACACUGUGUUUUAAUGUUUGGAGGUUUUCUUUGCUUUCAGUUCGGUUUGGGUUUAUUUUCCGUUUUUAUUUUAAUUUAAUUUAAGUUUGUUUUAUUUUCUGCACUUGUUAAUGCAGGGUUUCUUUGGGGGUAAACUAAGUCUCUCCACUGUCUAUCUAUCGAUUUCUAGUCAUCGUGUGUCCAUCAGAUAAUUCUGUCUAUGUCCUGUCAGUUUCUAAUAGAGGAAUGACCGCUAUAACCUCAUGGUGUAGCAAAAAAAAAAAACAUCAAAAAAAGAAUAAAAAAACACAACAAAAAAAGACAAAAAAAGGAAAACAACAAAAAUUAAAAAAAAAAUCCCUAAGCCUCCUUCCAACCCAUGGACGCCACGCCCUGCAGGCCCUGCUGGCCCUCGCCUUCUUCUGUCCCUAAGCAGACAACAUCCGCUUGCUUCUGUCUGUGUCUCGCAUGGUGGGUGUGUAUUCUGCACAAGCCGGAGCAGAGAGAGCCAGGGGCCUAGCAGUUCCUCUGGGUGAUCCAACGGUGUGCUCAGAGUCAGGCAGUUCAGAGUUUUAUGUGGGAAACACACAUAUACACCACACAUAAUAGAAGAGUGAAGCACGCCCCCGUGGACAAGUCGCUCCGGUGCCCAUCCCGGGUUCUUUCUUCCUGGCCAGGCAGACAGGAGCGGCCCAUGGCCUACUGCCCGCGAGAUGUGGGCAAGCAGACCCUCUUCAACAUCAGGCGCUUGCCUCGAGGGAUGAGAGCAGAGACCAAGAACGCAAAUCCAGACUUCUGUUCUUCCCCUCUCAUGGUGGAAGGGCUCCUAGUAUACAGAAUAUGUACCAUUUUAACUCAGUGUUGCCCCCAGCAUAGGGUUCCAGAUUCUUUCAGGUGUAAAAUGUAUACAGCUCUGCGUUAUCACAGAGGAGAAUCUUUUCAAAGCAAUCAACAGAUCAGCCAUUUUUACCACAGUGCGAAGAAGCGUCCUUACUCCAGCGAGCUCUAGGUGGCUGAGAAAAAGAAGUCUAAUCACUGUUCGUAUUUUUUUUCCUUUGUGGGAACAUUUCACCUGCUGAGUGUGUAUGAAUUUGCUUUCUAAAAAGGCUUUUAUGGGUUUACAGUAGGGCCAGUGGAAGGGAGAGUUAAUAAGGGCUGUUUUUACAAAACAAACAAACGAAACUAAUAAUUUUAAAAAGACACUUCACAUUCCUUCCUGUUCUCUAACUACACGUGGGAAGUGCACUUCCGGUGGGUUUGCUGUGUGGGUGAGAGAUGAAGGAAAUCCAUGGACAAGGUCCUCUUAGUGAACAAAAUUUAGUUGUUAACUUUAUAGCUAUAAAAUUCCCCCCGGGUGUUUGUUUUCGUUCAGACAGAUCUAACCUCUGCAUCAUGCUUAACCCUGCGACAUGCGUACAGUAUGCAUAUUUUGUUUUGAAUAAAAUGUUUUGUUCCAGUCUGUUAAGAAUAUUAAAUAAUAAAGGUAUUGCUUAAUAAAAUUGCUAGAAUUGUUUAGCAGUACAUGCACAAAUAUUUUACUAGAUUCUUUGUUUUACUAGUGUUUUGUUGAGACUGAAAACCCUAAAAUGGUC
rnacentral:lncRNA from 1 species